rnacentral:rRNA from 1 species
GACAGAGGGGGCAAGCGUUGUCCGGACUGACUGGGCGUAAAGCGCGCGCAGGCGGUCUCGGGCGUCGGCGCUGAAAGUCCACCGCUUAACGGUGGGAUGCGUGCCGAUACGCCGAGACUGGAGGGUGGGCGAGGGUGGUGGAAUUGCCGGUGUAGUGAUGAAAUGCGUAGAGAUCGGCAGGAACACCCGUGGUGAAAACGGCCACCUAGCCCAUACCUGACGCUGAGGCGCGACAGCGUGGGGAGCGAACGGG